rnacentral:rRNA from 1 species
UACGAAGGGGCUAGCGUUGUUCGGAAUUACUGGGCGUAAAGCGUGCGCAGGCGGUGAUGUAAGACAGGUGUGAAAUCCCCGGGCUUAACCUGGGAACUGCAUUUGUAACUGCAUCGCUGGAGUGCGGCAGAGGGGGAUGGAAUUCCGCGUGUAGCAGUGAAAUGCGUAGAUAUGCGGAGGAACACCGAUGGCGAAGGCAAUCCCUGGGCCUGCACUGACGCUCAUGCACGAAAGCGUGGGGAGCAAACAGG